ACUCUCCCAGCUCUGCACUGUUACACUUGACUUCACACGUGUGACUUUCGUAAUGGGGAGAGAGAGAAAGGACCCCCUCAGGACCUCAGUUGGCCUCACAGUGGCCAGCCUUUCCCUGAGGGGCGCAACAAGC